rnacentral:lncRNA from 1 species
UCCCAUGGGCCAGCAUUUACUGCUGUUGGUUUGUUAACAGAACUCCGACCUCAUGGACAUUUGGUUGCUUGAUGGUUAUGUGCUGGGAGUAGGGAAUGGGAAGGAUGAUUGGAACACCUGGAGUAUAAGUGGAGUAAAGAGUACAGAAGAAAUGCCUCUGGCAGAAAUUUGAAGCAGUUUCUGUGCAAGACUGGAGCUCACACGUGAAGCCAGCUCUGAGGAAGUACAAAGUGUUGUCCCCAAUCCUUGUAAUAUCCAGAGCUUCUUUGGCAGCUUGCUCUGCCCAAAAGAAGAUAGGGAAAGAAUCUAAGAAGUAAAGAUGGGACUCCGUUUCAGAUGAUGAAGCUCUAAAAUGACUUCAGUUGAUGGGUAAAGCCCAUGACCUCUGGCCUCAGCAGGUUUCAGAGAACAGGCAGAUGGGUGAUAAUACUCAGAAAGGCAUCCAUUUAUCAGUGAGGUUUCCUUCUAAGCUACAUCCCACACAGCAGCUUUGUGAAUGCCUUCAUCCCACACCUCAGCGAUUUUGAACCAGAACAAAUUUCUGUAAAGGG